UACAAACAAACAAACAAAAUCACCAAUUGAAUUAUGGAUGGUUUGCAAUGCUACAACUUGAAGGUCGUAAUUAACAUUGAAUCAGUUAACAUGAAUGCAACCAAAUAAAACCAAAAUUCAUAUUUUAAGGUAAGAUAAAAUCUCUAGGAUAUUGAUCUUUCAGUAAUCUUUAUUGUUUAUAGACGAGAAGAUAUUUAUAAGAAGGUAUAUUAAUUUUGAUAUUCGAAUACAAUACUUUCCCUUGGUAUUUUUUCAGAAAUAAAAUUUCAAAAACUCAAAAAUCAAUAUGACAUUCUCUAAAACAAUGAAGUUGCAUAAUACACGGCAGUCAAGAAAUAACCGUGGAAUAAAAUUGAUAGAAUCAGUUAAAAAUGCAACCACGAUAAGGAAUACUUUUUAGUUAACAAGUAGCAAAGCUACUAAUUCCAAGCACAUCAAAAAGAGAAAAAAGGAUGUUAAUUUAGUCAUCUAAAGGUGUGAGCUUUAUUAGCCUAAACUAUGCACGUGUGCAACAGCUAUUAUUGCCGCGACAACUCCAAUCAUUUAAGAAUGGUUUGUGCGAUUGUGACGCAAAAGACAUCCAUUUUCAUGUUUGAUCCAUCCAUCAAUCAAUGGGUCAACUGUCUCAAUGACAGAUUCAUGCAGCACGUCUUUGGUUUGUAUCGAAACAGAAGAAGAAGUAGACGAAGAAGACGUAGGAGGAGAUAUAGAAGAAGUUCACUCUUUCAUUCACUCAACAGUUACUUGAAAGACCAGUAAUAUUCAGAAUAUGCUAAUUGUAUCCUCUUUUGGAGUUGAAACAUAUAUUUAGACAUGAGGUCAUUGACCGUACUUUACUAAUUGAGGAAAUUUGAAGCCGUUGCCAU
rnacentral:lncRNA from 1 species